rnacentral:lncRNA from 13 species
CUUUCUUCCACUACCCUGGAAAGAGGUGACUUCCACCAUGAUUGUGUUUCCUGAGGCCUCUUCAGUCAUAUGGAACUAAAAAGUACUCAGGGUGCAAAGAAGAGAAAUGCAAUAAAAUGAUAAUGAGGAGGCCCAGGACCCGCACAAGGGCACUGCUGCAAGCAGUUACUUCAAGAAAACCUCUUGCUGCUUGUCCAGCCCUUGGUGGUGGUGCCUAGCAGCCCGUAUUCUUAUCCCAAACAAAUGUGUGUGGAGACAGCCCUGCAAAAACGGAGAGAUCGUGUGCCCAGAGAUAUGCUCCAGGAAUGGAAACAGAGAGCAGAGUGACUCCAGCAACUGGCUCACAGCCUUCUCUUCCCUUGCUAAAGUCCGAGCGACUCAGACAUCAAAAUUGAUCAUCUUCCCAACUGUGUACUCAGGCAGAGUUCAAGUUCCACUUCCUCAGGGAGUUCUGUCUUGCUUCCAUGGAGCUUUCCACCUGGCUGUCUCAUUCUUAAACAGCUUUAUUAAGACAUCAUCGACGUAUAAAAAUGUAUAGAUUUAAGAAGUGCAACUUGAUGUUUUAAUGUUACAUUAUUAAAUUAUCACCACAAUCAUGCUAAUUAAACAUAUCCAUUACCUCUGCAUAGUUGCCAUUGUGUAUGUGCAUGUGCAUGUGCGUGAGUGUGUGUAGUGAGAAGAUUUAAGAUCUGUCCUCUCAGCAAACGACUAAUAUACAAUACAGUUUUGUUAAUUAACAUCACCAUGCUGUAUAUUAGGUCUCUAGAAAUUAUUUGUAUUUUUCAUAACUGAAUCUUUGUAUCUUUUGGCCAGUAUCACCUUAUUUCUUCCUCUACUGGGCUCUGGAAACCACUAUCCUACUAUCUGCUUCUAUAAACAGAUAGUAUUGACUAUUUUUGAUUUCACAUAUAAAUGAGAUUAUGCAG